GUUCGUCAGGGAUGCUCUGACAACCAGGUGUCGUCCACGGGCGGGGGCAUGGGCAUGGUGACAGUGGUCCUGUUGAUGUCACCGAUGAUGCUGAGCGCCUCCUUCAGCGCGUGGUGCAUGUGCAGCAUCUCGUCGUGCUGCUGUGCCUGCUCUGCCAACUCCUCCAUCAGUGUGUUCUGGUUCCCACAUGAGUACAUAUUGGCCAGCAGCUCCGAGAUGAUGAACUCCGGGGUCUGAGAGUGGGCAAACAGGGAAGAAGGUUGGGACCUGGUGCCUGUGCCGCCCUGGCUGCCUUGCUGGGCCCUUCUGGGACUGUGCGCUGGACUUGGAGCCCCUUGGAGUAUGGCUUUUCACACGGGCUUCUAUACCGCUUCGACUGGAAGAUCCACCUCCCCACUGCCUUUUCUCACUCAGAUGGGGACACCGAGGUCCAGAGGAAAAGACACCUGUCAAAUGUCACAGAUCUGGGAGGGGACUUAAGACUUAUCAUGCCAAGAGGACACCUGUCUACUCAGUUUUUUUUUGGUGGGGCGGGGGGCGGUGAUAGGGUCUCGCUCUGUCACCAGGCUGGAGUACAGUGAUGACUGCUCACUGCAGCCUCCACCUCCUGGGCUCAAAGUGAUCCUCCAACGUCAGCCUCUCGAGGAGCUAGGACUACAGGCACAUGCCACCACCAAGCCCAGCUAUUUUUAAAAUUUUUGUGUGGAGACAAGGUCUCACUAUGUGGCCCAGGCUGGUCUCGAACUCCUGGGCUCAAGUGAUCCUCCUGCCUCGGCCUCCAGGAGUGGGAGUUGGAGUUGAUGCCUGGAUACAGGAGCUCUGUGGGUGGGAGUGAGACAAAACACAGGGUCCUGAGCUCUGGGGACCAAGCAAUGUCCUCUGGUGAAAAAAAUCCUGGACUUGCUGGCAGAAGAUUUGCCUCUUACUCGCCAUGUGCUCUGAAUACAUUUACCUGCCCUCUGGGAGCUUCAGUUUUCUUAUCUGAAAAAUGAGGACACCUGACCCCUUCCCUGCCCAGUUCAGUGUUGUGGGACAGGGUUGCUGUCAAGACAAUACCCAGUCCUGCCCUCCUCCCUGAGUGGGCCAGGUAGCCCAUGUAGCCUCUUCCCAGCUUUCC
rnacentral:lncRNA from 10 species